rnacentral:rRNA from 1 species
GCCAUCGUGGGUUCAUGCCCUUGUUUCUGUGAAUAAAUCAGAAUGAUUAAAUAUGGACGUACCGAACAGGUUGCCAAUGCUAAAGCACAGGAAAACAUCAUAUACCCGCCUAGCGGAGGAUAAGAGAAAAGAAUAAUCGAAGGGUCAUGUACUUGGUGGCUAGCGGUAAAAUGCGGUGAUUCACCAAUGACAAACAACUGCGGAGGCUAUUCCCUAGUCUAUUUCUGUAUGAUCAAGGAUGUAGGUGUAGGGAUCAAAUCGGAUUAGACACCCGAGUAGUCUACACAAGUAACUAUACCAAUUAGAAAUGUGGUGAGUUAUAAGUUUCAUUAUGUAUCUGGAUGGAAACAUCAAAUGAGGUCAUGGGGGGAGUACGUUUGCAAGGAUGAAACUUAAACGGAUUGACGGAAUAGCACCACAAGACGUGGAGCGUGCGGUUUAAUUUGAUUCAACGCAGGAAAACUUACCAAGGUAUGACAUGGAAAUGAUAGACAGGUUAAAAGGCCUUUCUUGAUUCCAUGAGUGGUGGUGCAUGGCCGAUCUUAGUUGGUGUUGUAAAAUGUCUGGUUAAUUCCGAUAACGAACGAGAUCCAAACUUUCAAGUUGGCGUAUAC